rnacentral:rRNA from 1 species
GAUGAACGCUGGCGGCGUGCUUAACACAUGCAAGUCGAACGGGAAUUACUUUAUUGAAACUUCGGUCGAUAUGAUUUAAUUCUAGUGGCGGACGGGUGAGUAACGCGUGGGUAACCUGCCUUAUACAGGAGGAUAACAGUCAGAAAUGACUGCUAAUACCGCAUAAGCGCACAGAGCUGCACGGCUCGGUGUGAAAAACUCCGGUGGUAUAAGAUGGACCCGCGUUGGAUUAGCUAGUUGGUGAGGUAACGGCCCACCAAGGCGACGAUCCAUAGCCGGCCUGAGAGGGUGAACGGCCACAUUGGGACUGAGACACGGCCCAGACCCCUACGGGAGGCAGCAGUGGGGAAUAUUGCACAAUGGGGGAAACCCUGAUGCAGCGACGCCGCGUGAAGGAAGAAGUAUCUCGGUAUGUAAACUUCUAUCAGCAGGGAAGAAAAUGACGGUA